rnacentral:lncRNA from 1 species
UUUAAAAAGUAUAUGUUAAUUCAUCUUGAUUGUCUAUUGCUCAUUAAGGAUUCUGCGUUUUUAUGCAUGAGUUGAUUGUUUCCUUUUCUUGUAGCUUUUAAAAACACAACCAGAAAUAUGUACUGGGUGGAAGAUGUCUUUGAAAUAUAGCUUAUUUUAUAUUGUUGACAGAUGAGGAUCUAAAAUAUCAUUUUUUCACAUCUUAUUUCACCUGUUGCUGCCAUUGCAAAAAUCUAUUUCCUCUUAUAUAAAACCACAGUGUUUAAAACUAUAAAAGCAAACACAGCAGUGAAGAAAUUUUCCCCUGGGUCUAUUUGCCAUAUGCUUUAAAACAGAAACAGAACUGUUUGAAUACCAAAAAUUAGCAUUCCUGAAUUUGAAGAUACUCUUGUUUUGUUUUGUUUUACCACCUGCAUAAGGGAAACUGAGUAAUAUUCUUCAAAUUCUAAUGGCUUGCUGAAAAAUCAUUUUUAUCUUGCAGAGUGAUGAUUCUUGCUACAUUCUUAGGAUUGGAAGAGUUUCCAAGAGAAGCAGAAUGGACUUAACUUCUUUUCAAAAUGUAAUUCAAAAUAUUUGAGAAAUUUAGAAAUGUGUUCUCAUUCUAUGAUUUUCCAGGUGCUCCUUCUUAAUCAUAAGCAAAAUAUUCUUCAGAUCCAAACAGUGCUGAGCGUCACGUCGUUUUUUCAGUCAUUCAGCAGUGAGUUUUUAUUAAGUGCUUCCUAUGUUGCAGGCAUGUUCUCUGCAUAUCAGAUAUAAAAGUGAACAAAACAGAGAAAAAAUUUUCCUAUGAAGUUUAUCUUCUACAAAAGAAGGCGAACAAAUAAAUACACACAUGCACAUGCCAAUACAUAAAUUAUAUAGCAUGACAGAUGGUAAUGUUUCUAUAGAAAAAAUGAAGCAAGGAAGAGGAAUAAUGGGUACAGGAUUAGAUUUAGAGUGUUACAAUUUCAACAAAGAUCUGACAGAGAUGAGAGUGCAAAAUAUAAAAGUAUCUGGUGGAAGUUUGCCCCUGGCCCUCAGAGUGGGAGAUAGGAGAGUCUAGACACUGGGGAAGAGCAAGAAGUGCAGUGUGGCCAGAGCCCAGUGAACCUGAAGAGUUGAAGUUACCAGGAGGGUUGGAAGCAGACUUACUGGGUCUUGUAUGCAGUUAUAAUGGCAUUGGCUUUAAUUUGAGUGAAAUGGGAUAAUAUGGGUAGCAUUUGAGCAGAUUAAUAAAAUGUUCUGCUUUUUAAAAAUAGCUUAUUAGAAAUAAAUGAAUCAGGAGUUCCCUGGUGGCUCAGUGGGUUAAGGAUCCAGAUUUAUCACUGCUAGAUUUGUACCACUGGAUAGAUUUAUGGCAUGGGUUUGAUCCCUGGCCUGGGAACUUCCACAUGCUGCAGUUAGAGACUGCUGAGCUGAGACUAGUGCGAUGAUGGUGUUUGGAACCUGGGUAAUGGUAAUACAGGUGGUAAGAAUUGGUCAGAUUCUGCUUAUAUUUGAGCCAAUUGGCUUGUUGUAUGGUUUAGAUGUGAAAGGUCAGAGAAAGGGUGAUUCAGGAAUAACUUCAAGGUAUUUGACUUGAGCAAGCAUGUGAGGGCUAUUUACUAUGAUACAGAAAAAUGUAAAAGAAGGAGUUUUGGAGCAAAAUAUCAGAAAUUUAGAUUUAGACUCCUUAAGCUUGAAAUCAAAAUCCAGGUGGGAAUGUUGAGUAGACAACUGCAUAUCUAACUUGGAUUUCCGAGAAGAGGUCCAGACUAGAGAUAUACACUUGAGUGUUGUUAGUGUGGAAUUGGUGUUUGAAUCCAUAUGUCCAAAAAGACCACCAAGAGGGUUAUGAAGAUUAAGAAAGGGAGAUAUUUGAAGACUGAGCCCUGGGCUCUGCAAGAUUUAUGGAUUGCAGAAAUGAGAAAAAACAAAAACAAAACAGAAAAGACUGGAGCCAGUGAGGUAGGAGGAAAACCAGGAGAGUAAGUUGCCCUGGAAGGAGGAUGGAUGUUUCUGUUGGAGAGGCAAUGAUACUUUGGAUGCAGUGGAUUUGCAAUGCAUCAGGAGGAGAGGAAUUGCAUGCAAUAAAGUUUUGCUUUGAGUUCCCUUGUGACCUAAAUUUUAAGGAUCCAGCAUUUCCAUUGCUUUGGUGGGGGUUUGAUCCCUGCCUUGGGAACUUCCACAUGCCACUGGCAAGGCCAAAAAUAAUAAAUAAAUAAAAUUUUUGCUUUACAGGAAAGCAAGGAAGAAGGACAUAGGUUAAAAAAUGUUUUAUGAUUUUUAAAGUUGAGUGAAAUAGGCUACUUUUGUUAGAGUGAAUCAGUAGAGAGAAAAAUAAAUGAUGUAUGAGAAAGAAGAAGAACUUCUAGAUAAUUGACCUUGACUGUGCAAGAAAUUAGAAAAUAUAGUCUACAAGUAGAUGCACUGCCUUAUAUAGAAGAAGGACAGUUGAUCCAAAGUGAUAGGAGAGGAGAUAGAGUCUAUAGGAUCACUGGUAGGUCAGUUAAAGGAUAUUGUGAUGAAAGCUUUGGAAUAUUUCUUCUGAUUCCUUUUAUUUUCUCAGUGAAGUAAGAAGCCAAGAUGGUAUGUGCUAAGGCUUAAGAGGAAGCCAUGAGGGAAAGAGGAGAAUGAAUGGACUAGAUGUGCAGGAUGGGGUUACCAGAUGGCGAGAGAGGCAGUCCACAUGAGUACAGUGGUCAUAAAAUUAAAGUAAGACCAUCCUUCACGUUGUCACACUUUUUUCUAGAGUCAUAUUUGCCAUAGGGGGAAGGAAUUGUUCAACCGUUAUUUGGGGAUCAUGCAACUCUAUACAAUACCCAAGAGGAACAAUGGAGUUUUAUAUACGGAAAUGACUGCAGUGACUAAAAUGUGGAACAGGAGAUGAGUGAGGGUAUGAAGAACAGAGAGCUUGCAAAGGGGGCAAAAGCAGUGCCUCUGUGGUGCUGGAGCUAGAGUACUAAGACCAUGAACUCCUCUUCCCUGGGAUAACUUCCAUAUUCAAAAGGGAAGACCUGUGUGUGCACAGGCUGUGAUACAGUAGAGCAUCUUCCGUCCUCCAUUGAAUGACUCUCAUCCAUUUGUGCAAUGCCUCAUCUUGCAAGGAGGGCAUUCUUUAGGGAAAUGCUCUGCCUGGAAUCUGUGCUGACAAAAGCCACAUUUCACUUAAGGAAGAAUGUGUUAAAUGCCAUGGGAAAAAGGGCUACAUGACCCCUCCCCAACAUUUUUUUUUCAACAUCUCUCUCCCUUUUAAUAUUUUGCCUUAAAAAAAAAAAAUUUCUUUUUACCAUGUGCCCUAUGGAAAUUUGCAGGAAACCUGCUUUUAUCAGUAGAUUGUUGCUGGAGAUAGGUAAAGGAGGGAAAUGAUAAUAGACUGUGAAUUAAAGAAUAAAAUGUUGAUAGCCCAAAAGGGAGGUCUAAUUAAAAAUAAAAUAAAAUAGACUUUAAAAAAUAGGGGAAAAAAAGACAUCAAAAGCCCUAAUUUUUUUAAUGGAAGAACCCAGAACUCAUGCUAACUUCACUUUGCCGUCUCAUCUCUCUCCCCCACAUGUGGGCCUCACAGCUCACAUAUUCCCCUUUCCCUGAAUGUCAGAGCUCUGCUCCCAGCCCCAUCUAUCAGGUCACAAACCGUAAUGGAGCGUUUUCAUGCCUUCUUCAAUUCUAUUUGCCUAGCAGCAGUUUUUCUUCUAAUAUUAUUUUUUCCCCUAAGGAGGGGACUGGAAGAGAAGGAGAUAAAAACAUUAGCCUAAAGCAAAUAGGGUGAAGAUGCCAGUGAGCCAAGCACCAGACUGAGCCUGAAUCUUUGGAAAAUGACAGAGACCUCAUGGACUGCUGUGGUUAUCUUCUGUUUCAUAGAAGAGGGCAUAUUCAACAGGAUGCAACCUCUUAAGAAUUUUCUGAACAUCUGCAGGUUUUGGUAGUUGCCUUAGCCCAGUUUAAGCGAUUGCUAUGGCUGCUGAAAAUAUCUGAGUCACCUAGCUUUCCUCAGAUGAUAUUUUUGAAUUCUCUACUAUAAAGAUGUUAAUUAUUCUCAGGUUUUAGUGAUUUUCUUAAAUAGCAAAAUAGCAUCAGUUGCCAUUGGAAAUGUUGUAAGAAACAGUUAUCCCCUCGUUUAAACAAAUUUUCCAUCACAAGCUGUAUGAAUCCAAAUUUCUGAAUCUUAUUCCACCUAUGGGGGAUAGCCUGAAUUUAAAUCAAAAAUACUGUCUUUCCUCAAGUUUUAUAGAAUAUUCAUUUUUUACUCUUUGUAAGCAGAGUAUUCAUGAUUCUUUUGACCUACCUCUUCUGUAUGAUUAAGGGAAGGCUCCUGUUUUUUUUUAUCCCCCAUAUUUUCUUCUUCACACAUCUGUCUUGCUUCUUUCUGCUCCUCUGUAGUAAUUUAUUUUAAUUCCCAUGUCAUCGAGUUAUAAAUAGUGAUCAAAAAUGUUUAGCAAAAAUCUACUUCAUGCUAAACAUCUUAUUGCAUACGAUGAGUGAUUAGAGAAGAAACUAAAGUGGAACUUUAAUUCUGAAGGCAUGAAAAUCUAGAAGGAGCUCAUGGGCAUACAUAAAGGAGUAUGACUUUAUGAAAAUCUUGUGUUUGUAGAUUACAUAUGAUUAAAGUUUUGUGAGAUAAUUGGAGAAAGUAAGUUUUCCUAGAAGAGCCUGGAUUUGAAUAAGGAGAUUUUCAUGAAAAGAAUGAAAAAUAAAUUUCAAGUUAGGAUAACAUGUGGAGAAACUGGGUUUCAUCGCAAUAACUUGCUUCCCUUUUUAUUUCAGCAGUAGUUUUCCUUUAAACAAAAGAAGUGCUGGGAUUAAACCUUGGCACUGAUGCAAUUGUGUCAUGUUUUCCUCUCUCUAGAUCACAUGGCACUAGGAGCCAAAGUAUAGGAGCCAAGUAUUGAGGGCACUGCUCACCAAAUUCAUCUACCCACCUCUCUUCCUCUCUUGCUUCCUUCCUCACUGUCUCCAGAAGGUGCUUCAACAAACACUCUCAUCUCAGUCCUUUCCAAUAAAUACCCAGAAGUGGGAUGCUAUGUCUUUUGGUAGUUCAACUUUUAAUAUUUUUAGGAACCUCAAUACAAUUUUCUUUAAUGGCUGCACCUUUUUAUAUUCCCACCCACAGUGUACAAGUGUACAGAAUUUUUCCAUAUCCUUACCAACACUUAUCUUUUUUUUUAAUAUGUAAUAGCCAUUCUAGCAGCAGUGAAGAAAUAUUUGCACUCCUACGCUCAUUGCAACAUUAUUCACAAUAGCCAAGAGAUGAAAACAAUUUGAACAUCUAUCAGUGGAUGAAUAGAUAAAGAAAAGGUGGUAUAUUCAUAUAUUAGAAUAUUACUCAGCUUUAGAAAGAAGAAAACCCUGCCAUAUACAACAACAUGGAUAAAUCAUUUGAGCAUUAUGUUAAGUGAAAUAAGCCAGUCGCAGGAGGACAAGUAUUGCCUGAAUCCACAUGAAUUGUUUAAAGUAGUCAAACUCGUAGAAACAGAAAGUGGAAUGGUGGUUUCCAGGGACUGAGGGGAGGAGGAAAUGGGGAGUUGCAUAAAUGAGUGUAAAGUUUCAUUCAUGCAAAUGACUUAGAGAUAUGCUAUCCAACAUUUUGCCUAUAGUUAGCAAUACUCUAUUUUUCACUUAAAAAUCUGUUGAGGAGUUCCUCUUCUGGCUCAAAGAAUGGGUUAAGGACCUGACAUAGUCUCAAUGAGCCUGUGGGUUCAAUCCCUUGCCUCAUGCAGUGGGUUAAGGAUCCAUCAUUGCCACAAGCCUUGACAUAGGAUGUGUUGAGAGUAUAGCUCUCAUGUUAAAUAGUCUUCACCAUAAUCAUAAUAAUAGAGGAGUUCCCGUCGUGGCGCAGUGGUUAACGAAUCCGACUAGGAACCAUGAGGUUGCGGGUUCGGUCCCUGCCCUUGCUCAGUGGGUUAACGAUCCGGUGUUGCCGUGAGCUGUGGUGUAGGUUGCAGACGCGGCUCGGAUCCCGCGUUGCUGUGGCUCUGGCGUAGGCCAAUGGCUACAGCUCCGAUUGGACCCCUAGCCUGGGAACCUCCAUAUGCCGUGGGAGCGGCCCAAAGAAAU